rnacentral:rRNA from 1 species
CCAGACUCCUACGGGAGGCAGCAGUGGGGGAUAUUGCACAAUGGGGGGAACCCUGAUGCAGCGACGCCGCGUGGGUGAAGAAGCGCCUCGGCGCGUAAAGCCCUGUCAGCAGGGAAGAAAAUGACGGUACCUGAAGAAGAAGCCCCGGCUAACUACGUGCCAGCAGCCGCGGUAAUACGUAGGGGGCAAGCGUUAUCCGGAUUUACUGGGUGUAAAGGGGGCGCAGACGGCGAUGCAAGCCAGGAGUGAAAGCCCGGGGCCCAACCCCGGGACUGCUCUUGGAACUGCGUGGCUGGAGUGCGGGAGGGGCAGGCGGAAUUCCUGGUGUAGCGGUGAAAUGCGUAGAUAUCAGGAGGAACACCGGUGGCGAAGGCGGCCUGCUGGACUGCAACUGACGUUGAGGCCCGAAAGCGUGGGGAGCAAACAGGAUUAGAUACCCGGGUA